rnacentral:lncRNA from 10 species
CAAGGACAUGCCUGAGCUAUCUUGCUAGAGGAUAAGCUUGCUGGGGGAUAUGUGAAGCAGAGCCAGACCUCCUUGGUCAUCCCAGGCAAGGCCAUCUACAAUCAGCAGAGCUAUAGAACUGACCUGCAGCUGAUGGACACAGAAAUCUGCUGUUAACCACAGACAUCAUAAUCACAAGCUAACAAUGUCAAAAGAGUAUGCUGCCAAGACCUCUGCCAUGGGUAACAUCUAAAAACUCAACAAAGAAAAGCUCUGCAUUUUUUACAAAAUUGACUUAUCAGGUCACUGAGCAACUGAAAUAUUUCCAAAGAAACAACUUAAAACUACUACAUUUUAGAGUUAUUUCAGCUCCAAUAUGGCUCAGCGUGGCACUGGUGAAGAGAGCUUGAUCAACCUGUGAGGAAACUCAGAC